UGCAGUCGUACGGUGAGCCAGCUUGCUGGGUGGAUCAGUGGCGAACGGGUGAGUAACACGUGAGCAACCUGCCCCUGACUCUGGGAUAAGCGCUGGAAACGGCGUCUAAUACUGGAUACGAGUAGCGACCGCAUGGUCAGUUACUGGAAAGAUUUAUUGGUUGGGGAUGGGCUCGCGGCCUAUCAGCUUGUUGGUGAGGUAAUGGCUCACCAAGGCGUCGACGGGUAGCCGGCCUGAGAGGGUGACCGGCCACACUGGGACUGAGACACGGCCCAGACUCCUACGGGAGGCAGCAGUGGGGAAUAUUGCACAAUGGGCGCAAGCCUGAUGCAGCAACGCCGCGUGAGGGAUGACGGCCUUCGGGUUGUAAACCUCUUUUAGCAGGGAAGAAGCGAAAGUGACGGUACCUGCAGAAAAAGCGCCGGCUAACUACGUGCCAGCAGCCGCGGUAAUACGUAGGGCGCAAGCGUUAUCCGGAAUUAUUGGGCGUAAAGAGCUCGUAGGCGGUUUGUCGCGUCUGCUGUGAAAUCCGGAGGCUCAACCUCCGGCCUGCAGUGGGUACGGGCAGACUAGAGUGCGGUAGGGGAGAUUGGAAUUCCUGGUGUAGCGGUGGAAUGCGCAGAUAUCAGGAGGAACACCGAUGGCGAAGGCAGAUCUCUGGGCCGUAACUGACGCUGAGGAGCGAAAGGGUGGGGAGCAAACAGGCUUAGAUACCCUGGUAGUCCACCCCGUAAACGUUGGGAACUAGUUGUGGGGUCCAUUCCACGGAUUCCGUGACGCAGCUAACGCAUUAAGUUCCCGCCUGGGGAGUACGGGCCGCAAGGCUAAAACUC
rnacentral:rRNA from 1 species